rnacentral:rRNA from 1 species
GAUGAACGCUGGCGGCGUGCCUAAUACAUGCAAGUCGAGCGAACAGACGAGGAGCUUGCUCCUCUGACGUUAGCGGCGGACGGGUGAGUAACACGUGGAUAACCUACCUAUAAGACUGGGAUAACUUCGGGAAACCGGAGCUAAUACCGGAUAAUAUAUUGAACCGCAUGGUUCAAUAGUGAAAGACGGUUUUGCUGUCACUUAUAGAUGGAUCCGCGCCGCAUUAGCUAGUUGGUAAGGUAACGGCUUACCAAGGCAACGAUGCGUAGCCGACCUGAGAGGAGGAUCAGCCACACUGGAACUGAGACACGGUCCAGACUCCUACGGGAGGCAGCAGUAGGGAAUCUUCCGCAAUGGGCGAAAGCUUGAUGGAGCAACGCCGCGUGAGUGAUGAAGGUCUUCGGAUCGUAAAACUCUGUUAUUAGGGAAGAACAAAUGUGUAAGUAACUAUGCACGUCUUGACGGUACCUAAUCAGAAAGCCCCGGCUAACUACGUG